GAACGACUCUCGGCAACGGAUAUCUCGGCUCUCGCAUCGAUGAAGAACGUAGCGAAAUGCGAUACUUGGUGUGAAUUGCAGAAUCCCGUGAACCAUCGAGUCUUUGAACGCAAGUUGCGCCCGAAGCCUUCGGGCCGAGGGCACGCCUGCCUGGGCGUCACGCA
rnacentral:rRNA from 1 species